rnacentral:ribozyme from 1 species
UAAAAAAAGAAAGGAGAGAAAGAAAAGAAGGAGGGAAAAGAUGAACCCCCCCAAACUGAUGAAAUGAUUUCAAGAAAACUAAUUCUCUCUUUUUUUUUUCAUUUU